rnacentral:rRNA from 1 species
AUUGAACGCUGGCGGCAGGCCUAACACAUGCAAGUCGAACGAGUGGCGGACGGGUGAGUAAUGUCUGGGAAACUGCCUGAUGGAGGGGGAUAACUACUGGAAACGGUAGCUAAUACCGCAUACCAUCAGAUGUGCCCAGAUGGGAUUAGCUUGUUGGUGGGGUAACGGCUCACCAAGGCGACGAUCCCUAGAUGGUCUGAGAGGAUGACCAGCCACACUGGGACUGAGGCACGGUCCAGACUCCUACGGGAGGGAGGAGUGGGGAAUAUUGCAGAAAGGGCGCGAGCCUGGUGCAACCAUGCCGCGAGUAUGAAGAAGGCCUUCGGGUUUUAAAGUACUUUCAGCGGGGAGGCGUUACCCGCAGAAGAAGGACCGGCUAACCCCGUGCCAGGCACCGGGGUAAAUC